rnacentral:rRNA from 1 species
CCUACGGGUGGCAGCAGUGAGGAAUAUUGGUCAAUGGGCGGAAGCCUGAACCAGCCAAGUAGCGUGCGGGAUGAAGGCCCUACGGGUCGUAAACCGCUUUUGCACGGGGAUAACACCCUCCACUUGUGGGGGUCUGCAGGUACCGUGCGAAUAAGGGCCGGCUAAUUCCGUGCCAGCAGCCGCGGUAAUACGGAGGAUGCGAGCGUUAUCCGGAUUUAUUGGGUUAAAGGGGUGCGUAGUCGGAUCGUUAAGUCAGUGGUCAAAUUGAGGGGCUCAACCCCUUCCCGCCAUUGAAACUGGCGCUCUUGAGUGGAAGAGAAGUAUGCGGAAUGCGUGGUGUAGCGGUGAAAUGCAUAGAUAUCACGCAGAACCCCGAUUGCGAAGGCAGCAUGCCGGCUUCCGACUGACGCUGAAGCACGAAAGCGUGGGGAUCGAACAGGAUUAGAUACCCUAGUAGUC